CACAGCUUCUUCUGUCCAGGCUCUUUGUUGACUCUAGAGAACCUCGGGCCAAUCGCACGUCCCUGUGACGGCGACUUUGCAUUCCGAUGUCUGCCCUAUCAACCUUUGAUGCCAUUUUCUGCACCUACCACGGAAAAUGGGUAACAGGGAAUCAGGGUUGGAUUCCAGAGAGGGAACAUAAGAAACAGCUACAUCAUCCAAGGAAGGCAGCAGGCGCGCAAAUUACCCACUCCCGACGCGGGGAGGUAGUCAUG